rnacentral:rRNA from 1 species
UACGUAGGGCGCAAGCGUUGUCCGGAAUUAUUGGGCGUAAAGAGCUCGUAGGCGGCCUGUCGCGUCCGCUGUGAAAUCCCGGGGCUUAACCCCGGGCGUGCAGUGGAUACGGGCUGGCUGGAGGCAGGCAGGGGAGAACGGAAUUCCCGGUGUAGCGGUGAAAUGCGCAGAUAUCAGGAGGAACACCAGCGGCGAAGGCGGCGCUCUGGGCCGGAACUGACGCUGAGGAGCGAAAGCGUGGGUAGCAAACAGG